CACGUAGGGGGGCGAGCGUUUGUCCGGAUUUAUUGGGCGUAAAGAGCUCGUAGGCGGUUCGCUAAGUCGGGGUGUGAAACCUCCAGGCUCAACCUGGAGACGCCACCUGAUACUGGCGAGCUUGAGUACGAAAGAGGAUCGCGGAAUUCCCGGUGUAGAGGUGAAAUUCGUAGAUAUCGGGAGGAACACCGGUGGCGAAGGCGGCGAUCUGGGUCGAUACUGACGCUGAGGUGCGAAAGCGUGGGGAGCAAACAGG
rnacentral:rRNA from 1 species